rnacentral:rRNA from 1 species
CACUCCUGCGGGAGGCAGCAGUGGGGAAUAUUGCACAAUGGGCGCAAGCCUGAUGCAGCCAUGCCGCGUGUAUGAAGAAGGCCUUCGGGUUGUAAAGUACUUUCAGCGGGGAGGAAGGCGAUAAGGUUAAUAACCUUGUUGAUUGACGUUACCCGCAGAAGAAGCACCGGCUAACUCCGUGCCAGCAGCCGCGGUAAUACGGAGGGUGCAAGCGUUAAUCGGAAUUACUGGGCGUAAAGCGCACGCAGGCGGUCUGUCAAGUCGGAUGUGAAAUCCCCGGGCUCAACCUGGGAACUGCAUUCGAAACUGGCAGGCUAGAGUCUUGUAGAGGGGGGUAGAAUUCCAGGUGUAGCGGUGAAAUGCGUAGAGAUCUGGAGGAAUACCGGUGGCGAAGGCGGCCCCCUGGACAAAGACUGACGCUCAGGUGCGAAAGCGUGGGGAGCAAACAGGAUUAGAAACCCUGGUAGUCCC